AUAUGAAACCUAAUAAUAAUGUCUGAGCACCUGAGCAAUGGAAAACAGUAGCUGCACUUUAUAGGAAGAUCAACCCCACCAGUGCCAAAUGUGCUGAAGAAUGCUUAGCUUGUGGAUCUUGACCUGGUGUUGGUGCAAGCUAUCUGCUUACAUUGCUCAGGGUCCUUCCUCUGCUGAUAAAUAUUGCAGUCGGCCAGUACUGGAAAAAUGCUAUUUAUUUAAGGCAAAUGAAGAGUACAUGUAACAGUAAGUUAAAAAUAUCUCAUAAAAUGAAACAUUCUACUCAACCAUGUUCAUACAAUUUUGAAUUUAAAAAUAAAUAAUAAUUAUGAAUCA
rnacentral:lncRNA from 1 species